GAUGAACGCUGGCGGCGUGCCUAAUACAUGCAAGUCGAACGCUUCACUUCGGUGAAGAGUGGCGAACGGGUGAGUAAUACAUAAGUAACCUGGCAUCUACAGGGGGAUAACUGAUGGAAACGUCAGCUAAGACCGCAUAGGUGUAGAGAUCGCAUGAACUCUAUAUGAAAAGUGCUACGGGACUGGUAGAUGAUGGACUUAUGGCGCAUUAGCUUGUUGGUAGGGUAACGGCCUACCAAGGCGACGAUGCGUAGCCGACCUGAGAGGGUGACCGGCCACACUGGGACUGAGACGCGGCCCAGACUCCUACGGGAGGCAGCAGUAGGGAAUUUUCGGCAAUGGGGGAAACCCUGACCGAGCAACGCCGCGUGAAGGAAGAAGUAAUUCGUUAUGUAAACUUCUGUCAUAGAGGAAGAACGGUGGAUAUAGGGAAUGAUAUCCAAGUGACGGUACUCUAUAAGAAAGCCACGGCUAACUACGU
rnacentral:rRNA from 1 species